rnacentral:sRNA from 1 species
GCCAGGCAUGGUGGUGCAUGCCUAUAAUCCUAGCAACUAGGGAGGCUGAGGAAGGAGAUCUUGAGUUCAAAGCCAGUCUCAGCAAAAGCAAGGCACUAAGUAACUCAAUGAGACCCUGUCUCUA